GACGAACGCUGGCGGCGUGCCUAAUACAUGCAAGUUGAGCGAUGAAGAUUGGUGCUUGCACCAAUUUGAAGAGCAGCGAGCGGGUGAGUAACGCGUGGGGAAUCUGCCUUUGAGCGGGGGACAACAUUUGGAAACGAAUGCUAAUACCGCAUAACAACUUUAAACAUAAGUUUUAAGUUUGAAAGAUGCAAUUGCAUCACUCAAAGAUGAUCCCGCGUUGUAUUAGCUAGUUGGUGAGGUAAAGGCUCACCAAGGCGAUGAUACAUAGCCGACCUGAGAGGGUGAUCGGCCACCAUGGGACUGGGACACGGCCCAAACUCCUACGGGAGGCAGCAGUAGGGAAUCUUCGGGAAUGGGCGGAAGUCUGACCGAGCAACGCCGCGUGGGUGAAGAAGGGUUUCGGAUCGUAAAACUCUGUUGGUAGAGAAGAACGUUGGUGAGAGUGGAAAGCUCAUAAAGUGACGGUAACUACCCAGAAAGGGACGGCUAACUACGUG
rnacentral:rRNA from 1 species